UUAAAUUGAAGAGUUUGAUCAUGGCUCAGAUUGAACGCUGGCGGCAGGCCUAACACAUGCAAGUCGAACGGUAACAGGAAGCAGCUUGCUGCUUCGCUGACGAGUGGCGGACGGGUGAGUAAUGUCUGGGAAACUGCCUGAUGGAGGGGGAUAACUACUGGAAACGGUGGCUAAUACCGCAUAACGUCGCAAGACCAAAGAGGGGGA
rnacentral:rRNA from 1 species